GGAGAGAUGGCUGAGUGGUCGAAGGCGCACGAUUGGAAAUCGUGUGAACGUUAAUAGCGUUCCGUGGGUUCAAAUCCCACUCUCUCCGCCA
rnacentral:tRNA from 1 species